GGCCUAAUGGUCUAGUAGUAUGAUACGCGCUUCGGGAGUGAUCCCGCUUACGUAAGCUUGUGCGUGGUCCCGGGUUCAAUUCCCGGUUGGGCCC